rnacentral:rRNA from 1 species
AGAGUUUGAUCCUGGCUCAGACGAACGCUGGCGGCGUGCUUAACACAUGCAAGUUGCGCGACGGUUAUUUGAAGUAGCAAUACGGAGGAUAAUACGGAGCAGCGGACGGGUGAGUACAACAUGAGAAUCUGUCCUUCAGAGGGGGACAACGUCUGGAAACGGACGCUAAUACCCCAUAGGCCUACGGGUUAAAGCAGUAAUGUGCUGGAGGAGGAGCUCGUGUCCUAUCAGCUUGAUGGUGAGGUAACGGCUCACCAUGGCGAUGACGGGUAGCCGGCCUGAGAGGGUGUCCGGCCACACUGGAACUGAGAUACGGUCCAGACUCCUACGGGAGGCAGCAGUGGGGAAUAUUGGGCAAUGGGAGAAAUCCUGACCCAGCAACGCCGCGUGAACGAAGAAGGCCCUUGGGUCGUAAAGUUCUUUUAUACGGGAAGAAGGAAGUGACGGUACCCGUAUGAAUAAGCCCCGGCUAACUACGUGCCAGCAGCCGCGGUAAUACGUAGGGGCGAGCGUUGUCCCGGAAUUACUGGGGCGUAGGGCACGCAGGCUGUGCUGUAAGUCAGCUGUUUAAGGAUGUCGGGUUAACCCGUGUUUUCCGUUGAACUGCCGUGCUGGAGUUCCCAAAGGNAGUGAAUUCCCCGUGUUCGGUG